GUUUAAUGGUUACACCCUUCAACUGGAUGAAGAUAGGACUCUAAGUCCAGUUGAAUACUUGAAACAGGCAUAAGAUCUCUCUGAUCUCUACAAGUGGAUCCUCUGAAUCCCUAUUCCCCUUUCUCUGAAUUCUUUAAGUUUAGAUUAAUAUUUCACCAUUAUUCCUCAAA